rnacentral:rRNA from 1 species
UGGGGAAUAUUGGACAAUGGGCGAAAGCCUGAUCCAGCCAUGCCGCGUGUGUGAAGAAGGUCUUCGGAUUGUAAAGCACUUUAAGUUGGGAGGAAGGGCAGUAAGCGAAUACCUUGCUGUUUUGACGUUACCGACAGAAUAAGCACCGGCUAACUCUGUGCCAGCAGCCGCGGUAAUACAGAGGGUGCAAGCGUUAAUCGGAAUUACUGGGCGUAAAGCGCGCGUAGGUGGUUCGUUAAGUUGAAUGUGAAAGCCCCGGGCUCAACCUGGGAACUGCAUCCAAAACUGGCGAGCUAGAGUAGGGCAGAGGGUGGUGGAAUUUCCUGUGUAGCGGAGAAAUGCGUAGAUAUAGGAAGGAACACCAGUGGCGAAGGCGACCACCUGGGCGCAUACUGACACUGAGGUGCGAAAGCGUGGGGAGCAAACAGG